rnacentral:rRNA from 1 species
GACGUAGGAUGCAAGCAUUGUCCGGAUUUAUUGGGCGUAAAGAGUUCGUAGGCGGUUUGUUAAGUCUAAUGUUAAAGAUCAGGGCUCAACCCUGGGACUGCAUUAGAUACUGGCAGACUGGAGUGUGGUAGAGGUAAGUGGAAUUUCUGGUGUAGCGGUGAAUGCGUAGAUAUCAGAAAGAACACCAGUGGCGUAGGCGACUUACUGGGCCAUAACUGACGGCUGACGGAACGAAAGCCAGGGGAGCAAAUGGG